GCGACCCCAGUCAGGCAGGACUACCCGSUGAGUUUAAKCA
rnacentral:rRNA from 1 species